AACGAACGCUGGCGGCAUGCCUAACACAUGCAAGUCGAACGAGACCUUCGGGUCUAGUGGCGCACGGGUGCGUAACGCGUGGGAACCUGCCCUUAGGUUCGGAAUAACUCCCCGAAAGGGGUGCUAAUACCGGAUAAUGUCUUCGGACCAAAGAUUUAUCGCCUUUGGAUGGGCCCGCGUUGGAUUAGCUAGUUGGUAGGGUAAAAGCCUACCAAGGCGACGAUCCAUAGCUGGUCUGAGAGGAUGAUCAGCCACACUGGGACUGAGACACGGCCCAGACUCCUACGGAAGGCGGCAGUGGGGAAUAUUGGACAAUGGGCGAAGGCCUGACCCAGCAAGGCCGCGUGAGUGAUGAAGGCCUUAGGGUUGAAAAGCUUUUUUACCCGGGAUGAUAAUGACGGUACCGGGAGAAUAAGCUCCGGCUAACUCCGUG
rnacentral:rRNA from 1 species